AGCAGUCGCCGCGGGAAUACGUAGGGUGCAAGCGUUAAUCGGAAUUACUGGGCGUAAAGCGUGCGCAGGCGGUUAUAUAAGACAGAUGUGAAAUCCCCGGGCUCAACCUGGGAACUGCAUUUGUGACUGUAUAGCUAGAGUACGGCAGAGGGGGAUGGAAUUCCGCGUGUAGCAGUGAAAUGCGUAGAUAUGCGGAGGAACACCGAUGGCGAAGGCAAUCCCCUGGGCCUGUACUGACGCUCAUGCACGAAAGCGUGGGGAGCAAACAGGAUUAGAUACCCGCGUAGUCCCUGUCUCUUAUAC
rnacentral:rRNA from 1 species